AGCAGCCGCGGUAAUUCCAGCUCCAAUAGCGUAUAUUAAAGUUGUCGCAGUUAAAAAGCUCGUAGUUGAAUUUCGGGGUCAGUAGAUCGGUCAUGCCACUGGUAUGUACUGGUCUCACUGAUUCCUCCUUCCUGAUGAGCCGUAAUGCCAUUAAUUUGGUGUUGCGAGGAAUCUGGACUGUUACUUUGAAAAAUUAGAGUGUUUAAAGCAGGCUAACGCUUGAAUACAUUAGCAUGGAAUAAUGAAAUAGGACGUUCGAUCUUAUUUUGUUGGUUUCUAAGAUUGACGUAAUGAUUAAUAGGGAUAGUUGGGGGCAUUAGUAUUCAAUUGUCAGAGGUGAAAUUCUUGGAUUUAUUGAAGACUAACUACUGCGAAAGCAUUUGCCAAGGAUGUUUUCAUUAAUCAAGAACGAAAGUUAGGGGAUCGAAGACGAUCAGAUACCGUCGUAGUCUUAACCAUAAACUAUGCCGACUAGGGAUCGGAUGAUGUUAAUUUUUAAUGUACUCU
rnacentral:rRNA from 1 species